ensembl:lncRNA
AUGCCCCGGGAUAUUUUUGGGAGCUGCAGCGUCAGGCCGGGAAUGCUGAGCCUGUCCAGAUGUGCAGCCAGGCAGCCGCGGAAUCCCGGGAGUUUGGUUGGGAUUCCCUGCGAUUCCCAGCGAGUUUCCCGCCUCACUCCGGAUCAGGAGUGGAUUCCCAGCCUUUGGAAGCUCAUUCCUGGUCCUUGGAAUCUCAUUCCUGGUCCUUGGAAUCUCAUUCCUGGCCCUUGGAAUCUCAUUCCCAGCCUUUGGAAGCUCAUUCCCGGCCUUUGGAAGCUCAUUCCUGGUCCUUGGAAGCUCAUUCCUGGUCCUUGGAAUCUCAUUCCUGGUCCUUGGAAGCUCAUUCCCAGCCUUUGGAAUCUCAUUCCUGGUCCUUGGAAGCUCAUUCCUGGUCCUUGGAAGCUCAUUCCUGGUCCUUGGAAGCUCAUUCCCAGCCUUUGGAAGCUCAUUCCUGGUCCGUGGAAGCUCAUUCCUGGUCCUUGGAAUCUCAUUCCUGGUCUUUGGAAUCUCAUUCCUGGUCUUUGGAAUCUCAUUCCUGGUCCUUGGAAUCUCAUUCCUGGUCCUUGGAAGCUCAUUCCUGGUCCUUGGAAGCUCAUUCCCAGCCUUUGGAAUCUCAUUCCCAGCCUUUGGAAUCUCAUUCCUGGUCCUUGGAAUCUCCUCAUUCCCAGCCUUUGGAAUCUCAUUCCCAGCCUUUGGAAUCUCAUUCCUGGUCCUUGGAAUCUCAUUCCUGGUCCUUGGAAGCUCAUUCCUGGUCCUUGGAAUCUCAUUCCUGGUCCUUGGAAUCUCAUUCCUGGUCCUUGGAAUCUCAUUCCUGGCCCUUGGAAGCUCAUUCCUGGUCCUUGGAAGCUCAUUCCCAGCCUUUGGAAGCUCAUUCCUGGUCCUUGGAAGCUCAUUCCUGGUCCUUGGAAUCUCAUUCCUGGUCCUUGGAAGCUCAUUCCCAGCCUUUGGAAGCUCAUUCCUGGUCCGUGGAAGCUCAUUCCUGGUCCUUGGAAUCUCAUUCCUGGUCUUUGGAAGCUCAUUCCUGGUCCUUGGAAUCUCAUUCUUGGUCCUUGGAAUCUCAUUCCUGGUCCUUGGAAUCUCAUUCCUGGUCCUUGGAAGCUCAUUCCCAGCCUUUGGAAUCUCAUUCCCAGCCUUUGGAAUCUCAUUCCUGGUCCUUGGAAUCUCAUUCCUGGUCCUUGGAAGCUCAUUCCCAGCCUUUGGAAUCUCAUUCCUGGUCCUUGGAAUCUCAUUCCCGGCCUUUGGAAUCUCAUUCCUGGUCCUUGGAAUCUCAUUCCUGGUCUUUGGAAUCUCAUUCCUGGUCCUUGGAAUCUCAUUCCUGGUCCUUGGAAUCUCAUUCCUGGUCCUUGGAAGCUCAUUCCUGGUCCUUGGAAGCUCAUUCCUGGUCCUUGGAAGCUCAUUCCUGGUCCUUGGAAGCUCAUUCCUGGUCCUUGGAAUCUCAUUCCUGGUCCUUGGAAGCUCAUUCCUGGUCCUUGGAAGCUCAUUCCCAGCCUUUGGAAGCUCAUUCCUGGUCCCUCACCUCAGAAUAGAAACCAAAAAAAUCCUGGAAGUGGAAGCAAAAAUUGUGGGAUUUGA